rnacentral:RNase_P_RNA from 1 species
CGGAUGGUGCAAGGACCACGGCGAAAGCUGAGGAAAGUCCACCCACCCCGCAUGCGAUGUGAAAUGAUGAUGUUGCAUGCUGGAAAAAGCCACUUCACAAUGAAGCUCUAGUAAUGGAGAGCUCUGGAACAGAAACGACACGGCCUGUAGCGCCCGAUGAUGGAUGCGAACGCGUUCGCGAGAAUGCGGAGAACCUCCUGAUGUUGGCUAUAGGAAACGAUGAAACGGCGAACCUUGGCUGGUGCAAGUCGAGCACGACGCUCAGUAGAAUGUCCUUACGCUGGUCUCAGAUGAGCAGCGGAACAAAAGGUGGCUUACUCCAUCCG